CCACGUCAGACGCCAGGUCAAUAGACCUGACCAACCAGGACACAACAAGUGGCAAAGAUGCUGACGCGAGAGGGUCAUGUGGGCGAUCUGCGUGCUCGCGAUCGAAUGGCUGAGAUCCGUUCCCGCGCGCACGGACAACCUGGAUGCGCUCCCUCCUAAACACAAUCGAAUGGCCAAAUUCAAACGUGAUCGGACGGUACAGAGUGAAUCGCGAUGGACGGUCCAAAUUGGAUCGCGACGAACGGUCCAGAUUCACUCCCUAUUUAAUCGCGAUC
rnacentral:lncRNA from 1 species